UACGGGGGGAGCAAGCGUUGUUCGGAUUUACUGGGCGUAAAGGGCGCGUAGGCGGUCAGUGCAAGUCAGUUGUGAAAUCUCCGGGCUUAACUCGGAACGGCCAAGUGAAACUGUCAUGCUAGAGUGCAGAAGGGGCAAUCGGAAUUCUUGGUGUAGCGGUGAAAUGCGUAGAUAUCAAGAGGAACACCUGAGGUGAAGACGGGUUGCUGGGCUGACACUGACGCUGAGGCGCGAAAGCCAGGGGAGCAAACGGG
rnacentral:rRNA from 1 species